rnacentral:rRNA from 1 species
CCUACGGGUGGCUGCAGUGAGGAAUAUUGGUCAAUGGGCGCGAGCCUGAACCAGCCAAGUCGCGUGAGGGAUGACGGUCCUACGGAUUGUAAACCUCUUUUGCCGGGGAGCAAGCGUGCGUUCGUGAACGCACGUCGAGAGUACCCGGAGAAAAAGCAUCGGCUAACUCCGUGCCAGCAGCCGCGGUAAUACGGAGGAUGCGAGCGUUAUCCGGAUUUAUUGGGUUUAAAGGGUGCGCAGGCGGAGGUGCAAGUCAGCGGUCAAAUUGCGGGGCUCAACCCCGUACUGCCGUUGAAACUGCAUCCCUUGAGUGCGCGAGAAGUAUGCGGAAUGCGUGGUGUAGCGGUGAAAUGCAUAGAUAUCACGCAGAACUCCGAUUGCGAAGGCAGCAUACCGGCGCGCAACUGACGCUCAUGCACGAAAGCGUGGGUAUCGAACAGGAUUAGAUACCCUGGUAGUC